GAGUCUACCUUGAGGAAAUCCCUAG
rnacentral:piRNA from 1 species